UCAGUCUGGCCAUACCACCCUGAAUGUGCCCCAGUUGCACCCAAUCUCGGAAGCCAAGUAGGGUCGGACCUAGAGAGUACUUGGGUGGGACAGUGAGAUUUGUUUCAGAACUGAU
ensembl:rRNA 5S_rRNA 5S ribosomal RNA